UACAGAGGUGGCAAGCGUUGCUCGGUAUCACUGGGCUUAAAGGGCGCGUAGGCGGUGCGGUGCGGUUUCGGUGAAAUCCCUCGGCCCAACCGAGGAACAGCCGGGGCUACGGCCGCGCUAGACGGCAUCAGGGGACAGUGGAACUCCCGGUGGAGCGGUGAAAUGCAUAGAUAUCGCUUGGAACGCCAACGGUGAAAACAGGUUGCUGGGGGUGUGCUGACGCUGAGACACGAAAGCCAGGGGAGCGAACGGG
rnacentral:rRNA from 1 species